AAUUCUACUUCACUACAAUGUAUACAUACGUUAAUAUAUUAUUAUGUGUAUAACUUAGUUAACUUUAUCUCCACCUUUAUCAUCUGCAAAAGUGAUUAACAACAAAGCUCGAUAACGUUCAGCCUUUCCAUUGACUUACAUUCACUAUGGACACACUGCUCCAUUGAACACGCCUUUAUAUUGACAACCAUUGACUUACAUUCACUCUGGACACACUGCUCCAUUGAACACGCCUUUAUAUUGACAACCAUUGACUUACAUUCACUAUGGACACACUGCUCCAUUGAACACGCCUUUAUAUUGACAACCAUUGACUUACAUUCACUAUGGACACACUGCUCCAUUGAACAUGCCUUUAUAUUGACAACCAUUGACUUACAUUCAUUAUGGACACACUGCUGCAUUGAACACACCUUUAUAUUGACAACCAUUGACUUACAUUCACUAUGGACACACUGCUCCAUUGAACACGCCUUUAUAUUGACAACCAUUGACUUACAUUCACUCUGGACACACUGCUCCAUUGAACACGCCUUUAUAUUGACAACCAUUGACUUACAUUCACUAUGGACACACUGCUCCAUUGAACACACCUUUAUAUUGACAACCAUUGACUUACAUUCACUAUGGACACACUGCUCCAUUGAACACGCCUUUAUAUUGACAACCAUUGACUUACAUUCAUUAUGGACACACUGCUCCAUUGAACACACCUUUAUAUUGACAACCAUUGACUUACAUUCACUAUGGACACACUGCUCCAUUGAACACGCCUUUAUAUUGACUUGCAUCCAUUGCAACAGCUCUCAACCCUUAAAUAAAAACACACCAACACAAACGUUUCGGACCGAACUUCCGUUGACUUUCAUUUAAUACCCAAACAACUGAACCUCAUCACAACUAAAACAUAUUUCCUCUUCGUUCUCAUGAACCUGAAUACAUUUGCACAUCAACGGGUAUCGUACUACUUUGUGUGUUUCCAUUGACUUGCAGUUAGCCACCAACUUUCACCACUCAAGCCUAAAACAGGCGAACUGUGUAACUUGAUUAAAUCACAUCAAUAAUUAUAAUUCAAUACAUAUAAUAACUAUACAUACUUUACAUUUAAAAAAGACAAUAGGUUCUGUCAUAGGAAUAUGUUCCAUUGUUUGGUGAAUCUUGAGGCUCACCUGUCAUGACCACCUCGUGUUCCAGGUGGCUGAAGCUGUGGCUUCCUUCCUGUUGAGACACAAGUUUGCUGAAGCCAGAAGAGAAACCAGGAGGUGAAGCACUUUUUACCUGGAACAUAAUAUAUAUAUAUAAAUAUAAAGAUAUAAAUAUACUUGUAGAACCCGGAAAGCAACAAUUAACCCUGGACCUGUCCUCCGUUCUCUUUUCCAGCUCCAACUCGUUCACAGCAUGAAGUCUGCAGGAGCUCCAGGAAGUACCGAGUCAAGUCAAUACAUGAAAAGUACCACAAGGAAGUACAUUUCACUUCCUGUUCCUGCCCCGAAGACAAAGAAAUGUUUUUAAGCACGACAGUAAUUAAACUGAAUGGAAAAACGAAAGAAAUCAAAA